GCGGAACGGUGUUACCCAGCAGCCCCCGCGGCGUCACUCUGGUCCGCUCCACGCUGUCGCCAGCGUUGUAGUGGCCGCUGCUCGGCUGAGGCACCGAGAUAGUGGCUGCCCGCGGCGUGAGUAAAAUUCAACGUAUACCCUGCCGCGAAGAUGGAGGGGCCUUUGUCCGUGUUCAGGGACCACAGCACUGGGGAGGCAAUCCGCUCCCAGAACGCUAUGGCUGCAGCUUCUAUUGCUAACACCGUGAAAAGUUCUCUUGGUCCAGUUGGCUUGGAUAAAAUGUUGGUGGAUGAUAUUGGUGAUGUAACCAUUACUAAUGAUGGCGCGACCAUCCUGAAAUUACUGGAGGUGGAACAUCCUGCAGCCAAAGUUCUUUGUGAGCUGGCUGAUCUGCAAGACAAAGAAGUUGGAGAUGGUACUACCUCAGUGGUUAUUAUUGCAGCAGAGCUUCUAAAAAAUGCAGAUGAACUAGUCAAACAGAAAAUUCAUCCCACAUCAGUUAUUAGUGGCUAUCGACUUGCUUGCAAGGAAGCAGUGCGUUAUAUCAGUGAAAACCUCAUUACUAACACAGACGAACUUGGAAGAGAUUGCCUGAUUAAUGCUGCUAAGACAUCAAUGUCUUCCAAAAUCAUUGGAAUAAAUGGUGAUUUCUUUGCCAAUAUGGUAGUAGAUGCUGUACUUGCAGUUAAGUACACAGAUAUAAGAGGCCAUCUCCAAUAUCCAGUCAAUUCUGUUAAUAUUCUGAAAGCCCACGGGACAAGUCAGAUGGAGAGUAUGCUGAUCAGUGGCUAUGCACUCAACUGUGUGGUGGGAUCCCAG